CCGGGUGGCUCCUUCAGCCCCUGAGACCUUUAACCCCCCUGUUGUGAGACAAAAAGAAAAGUGAGGCUGAAGUGUGGUCGCAGAUAGUGUGUCACUACAGGCCCACAGGAUGCACAGCCACCAGACAACUUGGAGUUCAAGGGCAGCUGACUGCGGGUGUGGGAGCUGCUGUAGUUUGGGAGGCUUUGGAAUAUCCCCCGAAGCCCACAUCUGGAAGGAGGUGAGCAGCUUUAUGUCAUCGCACACUUCCCCCUGCAUCCAGGCCACUGACCAUGGACUGGAACUACUGAAACUGUGAGCCAGCAUAAACCUUUCCUCUCUAUAGAACCUCACAGGACCUCACGCAUGCUAGGCAAACACCAUACCACUGAGCCUCAAUCCCAGACUUACUGUUUUUCAUUUGAGGUAUGGUCUUGUUAGGUUGCCCAGGCUGGCCUCAAACUUGUGAUCCUCCAGCUUCAGCCUCUUGAGUAGCUGAAAUUACAGGCUGGGCUCAGACUUUCGAUCCUCCUGCCUCAGCCUCCCAUAGUGCUGAGAUGCCAGAUGUGUGCCACUACACCCAGCUCAAGAAUGUCAUGGAUGUAGGUUGAGUGGAAUGGAGGAGAGAGACAACUGAUGGAGAGGAGGAACAGUCAUGGGGUCUCCUGGGAUGGGUGGGGAUUUUCUAAGAAUUCAGGCCCUCUCUCUUUUUGCUGUUUUUCUGGUCUCUUCUGUUGUCAUGGUGACUGUCGAUCAUGAGGGCACCAGAGGGCAGAAAUCUUCUAGGGACACGAAGGACCGGACUCAACAUGGUGCUAAGCCCACAGGUCAGCUCGACUCCCCUUGCGGCCGUGGCCAGGGAUCAAACUCAGGACCUUGCAGUUACGAGGCAGAUGUGGUGCUGCUGAGCUAAAUCCGGCCCUUCUGUCAUUGGUGUUUGCGGUGCUGGGGACAGAACCUGGCGCAUGUCACACUCUGUGCUUCCUGGAAGUCAGGACAGUGGGUGCUGCCUACUUGGCCCCAGGGACACCAUGUGGUAACACCGCCCGCCCAGCAACCCUACCAGGAUAGUGACGCUGACUUGGGCCACCUGCAGGCUGAAGACCUCUCACUGUCCUGCGUGUCCCUGGAAGAUUCCUGCCCUCUGGCUCCAUGAUGGUUGACAGUCGCCAUGACAACAGGAAGAGACCAGAAAAACAGCAAAAAGAGACAGCGCCAGGAUUCUUAGAAAAUUUCCACAGGGCUAGCUGGUUUUUUCCCUUUUUUUGGAAACCAGGUCUCAGUCAGUUGCCCAGACUGGGCUCAAACUUGUGAUCCUCCUGCCUCAGCCUCCCAAGUGCUGUGGUAACAGCCUGCACCACACCUGGUCAACCUGUUCCUAGAAGUUAGUUUGCGUGAUACACAGGUAGACAAUCUGGCUACUCAGAGAGAAAGGAGAAAGGAGGAUGGGAAUGGUCUUUUCAGAGAAUAAUGGGUGUUCUCACCCCCACACUGGACACCUCCAGGUUAUGAACUCCUCUCUUUCCUGUGUUCUAUUACAAUGCAGUGAUCCUGUACUUCACCCAUGCCUGACUUUGACCUGGGGUCCCCGGAAAGGAUUCCAGGGUCCUAAUUCCUUGACAAGUCCCCUGGUUCAGAGGGCUGGCUGUGGCAUCCCCAAGCCCAUGACCACCCGGAGCCCUGAUGCCGGGAGAGGCGGGAAGGAACUCCCCGGAGCCUCCACGGCCUGCACAGACUUGGAUUUUGCAAUUCUGGCUUCCAGAGCUGCGCCACGCACAUUUCUGUGGUUUGAAGCCCUCAGGGUAGGGGAUGGUCACAGAUGGAAAUCCCUCCCUGCAGGCCUCCAUCUAUGCUCACCUGGGUAACUGUGCGGCUUCUAGGGCCUCCUGGUCACUCCUGCCACGGCCUCUUCUCUGCCCAGGUGGUAGCUGAGGGAGCUUUGUGACACAAGCCUAAGUCAGGUCUGGGCCCUUCUCUGCUCUGAAUCCUCCAUGUCCCGUCCCCAGAAAGCUUCUCACUCACCAUGUGGAUUUGAGAUAGUGGUGUGGGUGACAUUCCUGAGCGGCCCAUGUGGGAUGGAUGUGGUACAAAUACCCACCACUGCGGUCUCUCCUGGAUGACCCCUAACCUUCUCCUUCUCUUAUCCUGGCUGAGCUUCUGCCCUGGACCUUUCUGGGUCUCAGUUUCCCUGUUUGGCAGUUGGGCAGAGCGGCUGAGUCUGUGACAUGAGUUUCAUCCGACACAGGAAAGCCCAGCCCCUUGGGGAGAGAGAAUUUCCUGGGGGCUUUAGUGACAGUGAGUUGUCACCAAGACCUGGCAGGAUGCCUGCAGAGGCCUCUGGGGUCCACACGAGGCUGCAGCGGAGGCCCAGGCACCCAAACAGCCCAGGUCUGGUGGCAUUAAACUGCGACCAUGCUGUUGCACAGCAUGAGCUCCAUGGACUGGAAAUGCCCAGGACAAGCGACUCCAGAGACAGGAAGUGGAGUUGUGGGUGCCGGGGCUGGGAGGGGUUGGAGUGACAGCUCAUGGGGACGGAUGGGGCUUCCUAUGGGGAGACGGAAUGUUCUGAACUAAUUAGAGGUGGUGGCUACUGGACAUUGUGAAUGUAUGAAAUGUCUCUGUUGGUAAAUUUUAUGCUUUGUGCAUUUUAUCACAAUAAAGAGAUUACAUUAAAAUAGGGAUUAUCUAGAUUAUUGAGAUGAUUGGCAUAUCCUUUAAGUUUCAGGCCUGAAGAAAGUAACUUACUAAAGCAUACACUCAGGCCACGUGUGGCUGGAGCUCUCCUGUCAUCCCAGCCACUCAGGAGGCUGAGGCAGGAGGAUCACAUGAUGGAGCCCAGUCUGGGCAACCUAGUAACCUUGUGAGAACUUGUCUUGAAAUAAGAAAUAAAAAGGGCUGAGGGCAUGUAGCUCAGUAGGAAGGACCUGGGUUCCAGGACCAGUACCACCAAAUGAAAAAGAGAGAAGAAAAGAAAGAAAAGAGGAGACAGACCUCCCUUCCCAGUAAUGAUGUAUUCAUUUUCCAUAAACCCCCCAGAGCCCAUAAAGAUGGCAUCUCCCCGUCACGACAGCUACCAUCAUGAUUAUUUCUGAGUGUAAAAACCAAAGAAUGGGCUGGGAGGGUGGGUAUGCACGGUGCCACUCUGAG